rnacentral:lncRNA from 1 species
CUCCAGACUCCUUCCUCCCCUCACACGCUAGUCAGUGGCUCUCCUAGGCUGUGACCGUCCCUGCCCUCAUGUCUUCACCAGUCUCUCUCCAUCAUUUCUGAACUCAACUGCACAGGAGACAAGACAAAUCACCCAUCACUUGAGCUCAAUGAGAAGAGAAGGCACCAGACAAUGAGGAUGUCAGGAAAGAGAAACCAUCACCUCUUUCAAAGUAGCCCCAGGGUACAGAUGAUCUUCUUUGCUAUGAUGUACACUACUGUUAGUCUAACUGUGGAAUUUAUCUAAAUUAAAAAUGUAAAAUAAAAUUAGGAAACAAUAAGCAGAUCUCCUCUGCAGAAGGCAGCUAGUGAGCACGCAGGGAGCAAGCAGCACCUGGACCUGCAGAGAAGGCUGAGAGGUGCCCACCAACCAGGGUGAGAAGAAAAACAUAAAAAACAAAUAAAUGUUGGGUACACUGAGAUAUAAAUAUUAAUAUAAAAU